CAUUACAGCGAAACACAAGAUUUCCUCCGGACCUUCAUCUGAGUCUCUCGGUUUAAUAUCAGGACGUCGUUCGCGAGUGUGAAGAAGAUCUUCGCUGGAUGAUGUGGAGAUGUGUGUGUGUGUGUGUGUGGCACGUGGGUCGACAGCCUCAUUGAAGGGGAGAACCGCAUGAGUUUAUCUGGAUUGUGUGGAUGUGGAUUCCUUCAGUCUGUCGGGAUGCUAAAGCCUGGGAGCUCUGGGAACGUGAACAUGAAUCCUGUAUCUCUGGGAUUCUGGCGUGUCUCGGAUAUGACUUCUGGAAUAACUUAACAUGUGGAAUAAUAAACUUAAAAAGAUGAAGGAUCGACAGAAGGAAGAGAAGAAGCACAAACUCCUCAGCAGAAACUGUUAGCGUGAGAUAAAGUGGGUCCAGCCUGACUUGAAGAGAGGAAAAGAAAGGUCUUGUCACCCGAGCUGACGGAUGGAGGCCCGAUGUCUUUGCUCGGUCCCUCUUCACACACUCAAUGGCUGCUCUGUUUCAGCGUAACGACGAGCCAGUUGGAUAUAAUCUUGAGCGCUGGACUCAGGAGAUCGGGAGGGAUAGGGAAACGCUACGGUAGGCUUUGCCGGGAAGGAUCAUCUUUCUCCAGAAGUAGGAAACGAGCGUCAGAGGGUUCCUGCUGCCAGUCGGCUUUCUCCUCCUGUUACGACACGAGACCAAAUGCAAACCAUGUGUCCUCGCACCCGGUUAGCUGCUUUUGCCCACCCCUAGCAUUAGCAGUCUGAGCGGAUCCAUUUCACUGGCCAAACGAGCCUCUCCGUGGGACUCCUGGCCUAAUAGGCUGGAUCUUUCCCAUGUCCGGUCCCCGAAGAUGGCGGUUAUCCUCUGUUCGAGGGUUCAAGCUGGAGCUCAUGUUUAGGGUACUAUCUACAGUGGAUGAGUGACUGGAACACAGGGGACUCUGGGAUUGAUAUGUGGAGAUAUGUGGAUGUAAGGCAUUGCUCUGGGUUGUGUGUGACAUACGAGGCGGCCUCUGCUGUGUUACCC